GAUAGUUUGGGUCUCAGGGAUCUUCUUUUCUAAGUAUGAAAUGCUGAUUAUACAUGGUUUAAUGGUUAUCUUGAGUAAAAUUUGAUUCAAGGUUGUUGUAGAUAUCAAUCUUUUCUUUGUUGUUUACUUUUUGAAGAUGAUGUAGUUGAUUGUCUGAUAGUCUUGGGUUUUGAUUCUAGUAUUAGCUAUUUACUUGCUUUCUUGAUUAUAUGGUUCAUGCAAUUGAAUAGCUUCUCUGUUUUUUUUUUUUUAGCAAGGUGUAUUGGGAAUUAUUCUUGGAGGCGGAUGUAGGUAAUAUGAAUCUAUCAACGUAUCUGAUGUAGUGGAUGGAUAGUGUCCUAUCCCGAGGUGAUGAAGUUGAUUUCUUCCACGACAAGUUUCGUUGUCCAGUUUAUGUCAAGGAUGUCGUGAAUGUCAUACAAGCUUUGACUAAGAUGUGGAUUUCAGAUUUGAAGGACUUAAUUCUAUGAGGAAAAGUUGGGUUAUUUUGAAUUUGCGAUGGAAAUAACUGUGGAAGCUGAUGAAGCAUGUUUGAAUGAUCAAGGCAAAUUGACUAAGCGGAACUCAUUUCUUGAAGAUGCAUUUAAUUCAUCAUGUGAAGGAAUCAUGGGUUGUGCUUGCUAGGAUAUUGUAUUAUACUGGGCUAGAAUGAACUUCGUCGACAUUUACUUAUGUCAUGUCCAACUUAUUUCAAUCAAUGACCAUCUUGUUGGCUAUCAUCUUCAAGUCUUUGUGGCCUUAUCAAUAGGUUGGAUGGCAAAUAAACAUUCUGGUGGCGCUUAAAAAGUUUUUAUUGACAG